AGAGUUUGAUCAUGGCUCAGGACGAACGCUGGCGGCGUGCCUAACACAUGCAAGUCGAGCGAGGAAGAGGAGAUAGCUUGCUAACUCCUGUUUCUAGCGGCGGACGGGUGAGUAACGCGUGAGCAACCUGCCUUUAUCAGGGGGAUAACGCAUCGAAAGAUGUGCUAAUACCGCGUAAGACCACAGCCUCACAUGGGGCGGGGGUCAAAGGAGCAAUCCGGAUAAAGAUGGGCUCGCGUCCGAUUAGCUAGUUGGUGAGAUAACAGCCCACCAAGGCGACGAUCGGUAGCCGACCUGAGAGGGGUGAUCGGCCACAUUGGAACUGAGAGACGGUCCAGACUCCUACGGGAGGCAGCA
rnacentral:rRNA from 1 species